AUAUUAUUAAGCGGAGGAAAAGAAACUAACAAGGAUGCCCUCAGUAACGGCGAGUGAAGCGGGCAAAGCUCAACCUGUAAAUCGAAGCUCUUGACAGGACUUCGAAUUGUGGGCUAAAGACGCGUCAUCAGCGUGCAACUUCGGUACAAGUCUUUUGGAACAAGGCAUCAGAGAGGGUGAGAAUCCCGUCUUUGACCGAGGGUUUGCCGCGUACGAUACGUGUUCAUCGAGUCGAGUUCUUUGGGAUUGGAACUCUAAGUGGGUGGUAAAUUUCAUCUAAAGCUAAAUAAUGGCGAGAGACCGAUAGCGCACAAGUA
rnacentral:rRNA from 1 species